rnacentral:rRNA from 1 species
UAAAAUGACUCUCGGCAACGGAUAUCUAGGCUCUCGCAUCGAUGAAGAACGCAGCGAAAUGCGAUACUUGGUGUGAAUUGCAGAAUCCCGUGAAUCAUCGAGUCUUUGAACGCAAGUUGCGCCCGCGGUCUUCCGGCCAAGGGCACGUCUGCCUGGGCGUC